rnacentral:lncRNA from 1 species
GUCGUCUUUGGUUGGUUUUUGUCAUACUUUGGUUUACGUGGUCCAUGUAAGGACUAAACAUAGAAUGGUUGAAUGCCGUAAGGUGACAUAUAUUUGCUUUCCGCCAUGUUAUUUGAUUUAAAAUAAGUAGUUGUAUUAUUGGUUUUUAUACACUAUCUCCGUUUGUUGUAUAAUUACCCUGCAAAAUUCCUCGUGUGGCUGCUUGAAGCCAGGAUUUAAAAGUUCAGACUGUUGAUGUUGCCUUUUUAUAGUUUUAUUGUGUCACAUGUGGAGCAGGAUCUGAUUACCCUUCCGGAGCAUCCCCGAGAUCUCCCCCAGUUUUUGGCAAGUCUUCGUGUUGUUUAGUCUUAGUUUUCUUUGUUUUGUUUUCUGUACGAUUAUUUGUCUGUUUUUUUUUUUUUUUUAUUUUUAGCCAUGGCGUUUUCAGUUUGGUUUCAAUCUAUGAGUUUGGCUAUCCAUCUGGUAUCUUUCGUAUCUCUUUCUUAUUGAAAUCCGGUACCUCUUUUAACUUAUUAUACAGUAUGGUUUUUAUAUAUUUUUUUUCAGAUUGGUGAUAUGGUGAACUGUAGUUGUUUACAAGAACAAAUUAAUAAUACAAACAAAAGAUAUGUACAAUAAUAGAAUAUAAAUUAAUUUAAAUUGCCACUGGAAAAUGAGAGUAAUAGGGAUGAGUACAGUAAAUUAUCUAAGGCUUGCAGUUAACAUGAAAAACAUCUCGAACCGUUGUUGCAAAUGGGCUUAACAUUUAGAGGUCGUAGCCCUGUCUCUCUAUAAGAAACAUCGGAUUUAUUGUCGACAUUCUGAGAGCUAGGCUAUAUACUGUACAACAAAGGAUUUUACAUCCGGUUGGAAGAAGACCAAGAGUGCCUCGGUUUCUUUCAAAUCCCCAGUCACCCUUAUCGAUAUGUUAAAAAAAAUAACAAUGAUAAACUUUAUUGAUAGUCUAAAAC